rnacentral:rRNA from 1 species
GGAGAUGCCGCUGGAAUUGGGCCAAAAGCUGCGCAGGAGUUGGCUAGUCGCCAAGUUGGCGGACCACUCAAUCUUAGCUACACCCUUCGUGAUCGCAAGAAUUAUUUGCGGACGAAGCGCCAACGAGAGAUGGCAUAUGGCGAAGCAGGUAGCAUGCUUAAGUAUUUUCAAGACAAAGUUGCAGAAAACCCAUCAUUCCAAUAUGCCUUGCAAAUGGAUUGUGAAGAGCAAAUAGCAAAUAUAUUUUGGGCUGAUGCUAAAAUGAUCAUGGACUACGCACAUUUUGGUGAUGUUGUUAGUUUUGACACCACUUUUGGAACAAACAAGGAGAGCAGGCCUUUUGGUGUCUUUGUCGGAUUCAAUCAUUUUAGAGAAAGUGUAGUUUUUGGUGCUGCUCUCAUGUAU